rnacentral:pre_miRNA from 1 species
GCUGUCAUAGGGUAGGAGGAGAGAGGUGUUACCUUAUCAGCUGCCACCUCUUCCAUCCUCUCCUUCUGCAGGAGC